rnacentral:RNase_MRP_RNA from 14 species
AGAGAUGCUGCGAAGAAAGUCCCCGUGCCUUGGUGCAGAGAGUGCGAGUGCGAGACCGCAGGGCUGGUGCCAAUCCCUCCAGUGGUGAUGCUUCUUGCGGAGCCUUGGUCGGAGGCUUUGGCCCUUCGCAGCACCACAGACAUGCCGUGAGCGCUCAUGAUCGGAGCGCCAACAGAACGGGGCUCACUCUCC